rnacentral:rRNA from 1 species
AACGAACGCUGGCGGCAUGCCUAACACAUGCAAGUCGAACGAGACCUUCGGGUCUAGUGGCGCACGGGUGCGUAACGCGGGGGAACCUGCCCUUAGGUUCGGAAGAACUCCCCGAAAGGGGUGCUAAUACCGGAUAAUGUCUUCGGACCAAAGAUUUAUCGCCUUUGGAUGGGCCCGCGUUGGAUUAGCUAGUUGGUAGGGUAAAAGCCUACCAAGGCGACGAUCCAUAGCUGGUCUGAGAGGAUGAUCAGCCACACUGGGACUGAGACACGGCCCAGACUCCUACGGGAGGCAGCAGUGGGGAAUAUUGGACAAUGGGCGAAAGCCUGAUGCAGCAAUGCCGCGUGAGUGAUGAAGGCCUUAGGGUUGUAAAGCUAUUUUACCCGGGAUGAUAAUGACAGUACCGGGAGAAUAAGCUCCGGCUAACUCCGUG